GAUUAAGUUAUUAAGGGCGCACGGUGGAUGCCUUGGCACUAGAAGCCGAUGAAGGACGUUACUAACGACGAUAUGCUUUGGGGAGCUGUAAGUAAGCUUUGAUCCAGAGAUUUCCGAAUGGGGAAACCCAGCAUGAGUUAUGUCAUGUUAUCGAUAUGUGAAUACAUAGCAUAUCAGAAGGCACACCCGGAGAACUGAAACAUCUUAGUACCCGGAGGAAGAGAAAGAAAAUUCGAUUCCCUUAGUAGCGGCGAGCGAAACGGGAAGAGCCCAAACCAACAAGCUUGCUUGUUGGGGUUGUAGGACACUCUAUACGGAGUUACAAAAGACGACAUUAGACGAAUCAUCUGGAAAGAUGAAUCAAAGAAGGUAAUAAUCCUGUAGUCGAAAAUGUUGUCUCUCUUGAGUGGAUCCUGAGUACGACGGAGCACGUGAAAUUCCGUCGGAAUCUGGGAGGACCAUCUCCUAAGGCUAAAUACUCUCUAGUGACCGAUAGUGAACCAGUACCGUGAGGGAAAGGUGAAAAGCACCCCGGAAGGGGAGUGAAAUAGAACCUGAAACCGUGUGCUUACAAGUAGUCAGAGCCCGUUAAUGGGUGAUGGCGUGCCUUUUGUAGAAUGAACCGGCGAGUUACGAUUUGAUGCAAGGUUAAGCAGUAAAUGUGGAGCCGUAGCGAAAGCGAGUCUGAAUAGGGCGUUUAGUAUUUGGUCGUAGACCCGAAACCAGGUGAUCUACCCUUGGUCAGGUUGAAGUUCAGGUAACACUGAAUGGAGGACCGAACCGACUUACGUUGAAAAGUGAGCGGAUGAACUGAGGGUAGCGGAGAAAUUCCAAUCGAACCUGGAGAUAGCUGGUUCUCUCCGAAAUAGCUUUAGGGCUAGCCUCAAGUGAUGAUUAUUGGAGGUAGAGCACUGUUUGGACGAGGGGCCCCUCUCGGGUUACCGAAUUCAGACAAACUCCGAAUGCCAAUUAAUUUAACUUGGGAGUCAGAACAUGGGUGAUAAGGUCCGUGUUCGAAAGGGAAACAGCCCAGACCACCAGCUAAGGUCCCAAAAUAUAUGUUAAGUGGAAAAGGAUGUGGCGUUGCCCAGACAACUAGGAUGUUGGCUUAGAAGCAGCCAUCAUUUAAAGAGUGCGUAAUAGCUCACUAGUCGAGUGACACUGCGCCGAAAAUGUACCGGGGCUAAACAUAUUACCGAAUCUGUGGAUUGUCCUUUGGACAAUGGUAGGAGAGCGUUCUAAGGGCGUUGAAGCAUGAUCGUAAGGACAUGUGGAGCGCUUAGAAGUGAGAAUGCCGGUGUGAGUAGCGAAAGACGGGUGAGAAUCCCGUCCACCGAUUGACUAAGGUUUCCAGAGGAAGGCUCGUCCGCUCUGGGUUAGUCGGGUCCUAAGCUGAGGCCGACAGGCGUAGGCGAUGGAUAACAGGUUGAUAUUCCUGUACCACCUAUAAUCGUUUUAAUCGAUGGGGGGACGCAGUAGGAUAGGCGAAGCGUGCGAUUGGAUUGCACGUCUAAGCAGUAAGGCUGAGUAUUAGGCAAAUCCGGUACUCAUUAAGGCUGAGCUGUGAUGGGGAGAAGACAUUGUGUCUUCGAGUCGUUGAUUUCACACUGCCGAGAAAAGCCUCUAGAUAGAAAAUAGGUGCCCGUACCGCAAACCGACACAGGUAGUCAAGAUGAGAAUUCUAAGGUGAGCGAGCGAACUCUCGUUAAGGAACUCGGCAAAAUGACCCCGUAACUUCGGGAGAAGGGGUGCUCUUUAGGGUUAACGCCCAGAAGAGCCGCAGUGAAUAGGCCCAAGCGACUGUUUAUCAAAAACACAGGUCUCUGCUAAACCGUAAGGUGAUGUAUAGGGGCUGACGCCUGCCCGGUGCUGGAAGGUUAAGAGGAGUGGUUAGCUUCUGCGAAGCUACGAAUCGAAGCCCCAGUAAACGGCGGCCGUAACUAUAACGGUCCUAAGGUAGCGAAAUUCCUUGUCGGGUAAGUUCCGACCCGCACGAAAGGCGUAACGAUUUGGGCACUGUCUCAACGAGAGACUCGGUGAAAUCAUAGUACCUGUGAAGAUGCAGGUUACCCGCGACAGGACGGAAAGACCCCGUGGAGCUUUACUGUAGCCUGAUAUUGAAAUUCGGCACAGCUUGUACAGGAUAGGUAGGAGCCUUUGAAACGUGAGCGCUAGCUUACGUGGAGGCGCUGGUGGGAUACUACCCUAGCUGUGUUGGCUUUCUAACCCGCACCACUUAUCGUGGUGGGAGACAGUGUCAGGCGGGCAGUUUGACUGGGGCGGUCGCCUCCUAAAAGGUAACGGAGGCGCUCAAAGGUUCCCUCAGAAUGGUUGGAAAUCAUUCAUAGAGUGUAAAGGCAUAAGGGAGCUUGACUGCGAGACCUACAAGUCGAGCAGGGUCGAAAGACGGACUUAGUGAUCCGGUGGUUCCGCAUGGAAGGGCCAUCGCUCAACGGAUAAAAGCUACCCCGGGGAUAACAGGCUUAUCUCCCCCAAGAGUUCACAUCGACGGGGAGGUUUGGCACCUCGAUGUCGGCUCAUCGCAUCCUGGGGCUGUAGUCGGUCCCAAGGGUUGGGCUGUUCGCCCAUUAAAGCGGUACGCGAGCUGGGUUCAGAACGUCGUGAGACAGUUCGGUCCCUAUCCGUCGUGGGCGUAGGAAAUUUGAGAGGAGCUGUCCUUAGUACGAGAGGACCGGGAUGGACAUACCUCUGGUGUACCAGUUGUCGUGCCAACGGCAUAGCUGGGUAGCUAUGUGUGGACGGGAUAAGUGCUGAAAGCAUCUAAGCAUGAAGCCCCCCUCAAGAUGAGAUUUCCCAACUUCGGUUAUAAGAUCCCUCAAAGAUGAUGAGGUUAAUAGGUUCGAGGUGGAAGCAUGGUGACAUGUGGAGCUGACGAAUACUAAUCGAUCGAAGACUUAAUCAA
rnacentral:rRNA from 1 species